GACCCCCGGCAACGGUUGUGGCUGCUUCCCCGCUUCAGCUGGGGUGUUGCUGAGCGCGGAGCCCGAGGGCGCCUGUGAGAGCCCCUGUUGAGUUCCCUGCUGCGCAGGAUGCCAGAACUGGAGACUCUGGAGAUCAUGAAGUUGGUGAAUUGCCCCGAGACCUUCACCCUGGACAUGAGGUGCAUCAUGGGCGAGUCCCCUUCAGUGCGGGGCUACUUCGUCCUGGCGGGAAUGAACUCUGCUGGCCUUUCGUUUGGUGGAGGAGCUGGAAGGUAAGUGUUUCCCACUCAGGUUCGGCUUGCGAGGCUUCUUCCUUUCUGGAAUUACUUCUGGUUCAUAGGGUUUGUGAUACACCUAAUCCAGUGUGUUCUUAAUAAGAGGAAGACACAUGUCAUGAGAGAGUUGUCCCCUUGAAAGUACUUGCCACGGGAGGCUCUCCCCAUGUUCCAGACAUGUCAUUGUACAGAAUGUUUUUGGAACUCCUCCUUUGGAGUUAGCCUUGGAGCCAGUGGGAUGUUUUUUUGGAACUACUUCAGU